rnacentral:lncRNA from 1 species
UUUCAUUUCCCUUCAUCCUUCUGUUAAAACUGUGCAUCAAAAUCAAUAAAAGCUUUUACUACUCGAAACAGCAAUAAUAUUCUCCAAAGACAUCCUUCAGAAUAAAUGCAACUUUAUUUUGUUGAAAAAUGCAUUUCCUUGAAACUACUCGCAAAUUAUGCAAUUUUUAAUCAAGGUAAACGCAUUGCUAUAAAUGUAACAUCAGCUGUUAUUACAUCGAUCAAAUUCAAUCUUAUCGAAGCUCUCGUUGAAAAUGAGAUUAUAAUUUGUAUAAUAUUUUAACCAUAAUAAUCACAAAUUAUAUCUUGUCAAUGCCCAAAUCUAAUACUGAUAUCAUUCAUUAUCGUAAUUUUGAGUUAAUGUUAACUUUUGUAGUAAGAAAUAAAAUUCGCUUAAUAAUUA